UACAGAGGGUGCAAGCGUUGUUCGGAAUUAUUGGGCGUAAAGCGCGUGUAGGCGGCUUUGCAAGUCGGGUGUGAAAUCCCUCAGCUUAACUGAGGAAGUGCGCCCGAAACUGCCGAGCUUGAGUACCGGAGAGGGUGGCGGAAUUCCCCAAGUAGAGGUGAAAUUCGUAGAUAUGGGGAGGAACACCGGUGGCGAAGGCGGCAACCUGGUCCUUGACUGACGCUGAGGCGCGAAAGCGUGGGGAGCAAACAGG
rnacentral:rRNA from 1 species